rnacentral:autocatalytically_spliced_intron from 1 species
AUCAAUCGAUAAGAUGUGCACCAAAGGUGGCUUGAAAAGAGUCUACCUAGUAGAUGAGGGAUUGUUCCUCUUAUCUGCGACACCGUCAAAUUGCCGGGAAAUCUC